rnacentral:rRNA from 1 species
AGAGUUUGAUCCUGGCUCAGGAUGAACGCUAGCGGGAGGCCUAACACAUGCAAGUCGAACGGGAUUGGGAGCUUGCUCCCAUGAGAGUGGCGCACGGGUGAGUAACGCGUAUGCAACCUACCUAUAACUGAGGGAUAGCCCAUAGAAAUGUGGAUUAAUACCUCAUAGUUCUUUUGGUCCGCAUGGAUCGAAAGGUAAAGCUCCGGCGGUUAUAGAUGGGCAUGCGUGACAUUAGUUUGUUGGUGAGGUAACGGCUCACCAAGACUACGAUGUCUAGGGGUUCUGAGAGGAUGAUCCCCCACACUGGUACUGAGACACGGACCAGACUCCUACGGGAGGCAGCAGUGAGGAAUAUUGGUCAAUGGGCGCAAGCCUGAACCAGCCAUCCCGCGUGAAGGAUGAAGGUCCUAUGGAUUGUAAACUUCUUUUAUACACCAAGAAAAACCCCCACGUGUGGGGGCCCGACGGUAGUGUAUGAAUAAGCAUCGGCUAACUCCGUGCCAGCAGCCGCGGUAAUACGGAGGAUGCAAGCGUUAUCCGGAUUCAUUGGGUUUAAAGGGUGCGUAGGCGGCUCUUUAAGUCAGUGGUGAAAUCCUGCCGCUUAACGGUAGAAUUGCCAUUGAUACUGAAGAGCUUGAGUACAGUUGAGGUAGGCGGAAUGUGUAGUGUAGCGGUGAAAUGCUUAGAUAUUACACAGAACACCGAUUGCGAAGGCAGCUUACUAAACUGUUACUGACGCUGAUGCACGAAAGCGUGGGGAGCGAACAGGAUUAGAUACCCUGGUAGUCCACGCCGUAAACGAUGCUCACUCGCUGUAUGCGAUACACAGUAUGCGGCCAAGCGAAAGCAUUAAGUGAGCCACCUGGGGAGUACGAUCGCAAGGUUGAAACUCAAAGGAAUUGACGGGGGCCCGCACAAGCGGAGGAACAUGUGGUUUAAUUCGAUGAUACGCGAGGAACCUUACCUGGGCUUAAAUGUAGAGCGACAGCUUGUGAAAGCAGGCUUUCUUCGGACGAUCUACAAGGUGCUGCAUGGUUGUCGUCAGCUCGUGCCGUGAGGUGUCGGGUUAAGUCCCAUAACGAGCGCAACCCUUAUCGUUAGUUGCCAGCGGGUCAAGCCGGGGACUCUAGCGAGACUGCCACCGUAAGGUGUGAGGAAGGUGGGGAUGACGUCAAAUCAGCACGGCCCUUAUGUCCAGGGCUACACACGUGUUACAAUGGCCGAUACAAAGGGUUGCGAUACCGCGAGGUGGAGCUAAUCCCAAAAAGCCGGUCUCAGUUCGGAUUGGAGUCUGCAACUCGACUCCAUGAAGUUGGAAUCGCUAGUAAUCGUGGAUCAGAAUGUCACGGUGAAUACGUUCCCGGGUCUUGUACACACCGCCCGUCACACCAUGGGAGCGGGUUCUGCCAGAAGUAGUUAGCCUAACCGCAAGGAGGGCGAUUACCACGGCAGGGUUCGUGACUGGGGUGAAGUCGUAAC